UACGAAGGGGGCUAGCGUUGCUCGGAAUUACUGGGCGUAAAGGGCGCGUAGGCGGACUGUUUAGUCAGAGGGGAAAGCCCAGGGCUCAACCUUGGAACAGCCUUUGAUACUGGCAGUCUUGAGUACGGGAGAGGUGAGUGGAACUCCGAGUGUAGAGGUGAAAUUCGUAGAUAUUCGGAAGAACACCAGUGGCGAAGGCGACUCACUGGCCCGUUACUGACGCUGAGGCGCGAAAGCGUGGGGAGCAAACAGG
rnacentral:rRNA from 1 species